rnacentral:rRNA from 1 species
UACAGAGGUCUCAAGCGUUGUUCGGAUUCAUUGGGCGUAAAGGGCGCGUAGGCGGCGGGGUAAGUCGGGUGUGAAAUCUCAGAGCUCAACUCUGAAACUGCACUCGAUACUGCUCUGCUUGAGGACUGGAGAGGAGACUGGAAUUCACGGUGUAGUAGUGAAAUGCGUAGAUAUCGUGAGGAAGACCAGUGGCGAAGGCGGGUCUCUGGACCGGAACUGACGCUGAGGAGCGAAAGCGUGGGGAGCGAACAGG